GAUGAACGCUGGCGGCGUGCCUAAUACAUGCAAGUCGAGCGAACAGACGAGGCGCUUGCUCCUCUGACGUUAGCGGCGGACGGGUGAGUAACACGUGGAUCACCUACCUAUAAGACUGGGAUAACUUCGGGAAACCGGAGCUAAUACCGGAUAAUAUAUUGAACCGCAUGGUUCAAUAGUGAAAGACGGUUUUGCUGUCACUUAUAGAUGGAUCCGCGCCGCAUUAGCUAGUUGGUAAGGUAACGGCUUACCAAGGCGACGAUGCGUAGCCGACCUGAGAGGGUGAUCGGCCACACUGGAACUGAGACACGGUCCAGACUCCUACGGGAGGCAGCGGUAGGGAAUCUUCCGCAAUGGGCGAAAGCCUGACGGAGCAACGCCGCGUGAGUGAUGAAGGUCUUCGGAUCGUAAAACUCUGUUAUUAGGGAAGAACAAAUGUGUAAGUAACUAUGCACGUCUUGACGGUACCUAAUCAGAAAGCCACGGCUAACUACGUG
rnacentral:rRNA from 1 species